GAAAAAUCUUACAUUUGAGCAGCAAAAACUUUCCGUGUAAUCAUUACCUCGCCUGUGCGUGAAAUUGUACGUUUACCAUCUAAACACAGUAAGCAGGACUAGUGUAUGGCGCUGGCAUGAAUGUGUCGUCUCCACCGACUAGACCCAGCAGCUGGUGGUAGAACGCACAUCCUUGGAGGGAUGAAGAGCCAAGACGGGGAUAGAGGGAGGUGAAUUCUUGUGCUUGC